rnacentral:rRNA from 1 species
UACGUAGGUGGCAAGCGUUGUCCGGAAUUAUUGGGCGUAAAGCGCGCGCAGGCGGUCCUUUAAGUCUGAUGUGAAAGCCCACGGCUCAACCGUGGAGGGUCAUUGGAAACUGGGGGACUUGAGUGCAGAAGAGGAAAGCGGAAUUCCACGUGGUAGCGGUGAAAUGCGUAGAGAUGUGGAGGAACACCAGUGGCGAAGGCGACACGCUGGGCCGUACCUGACGCCUAAAGCGCGACA